rnacentral:lncRNA from 1 species
GCAAGUAGAUAUGUCAAUUUGAAGUAUUGAGCUCUAGUUCUCAAGACAUUUACCCAUGAAAGUGUGGUUUUUCAAACAGAAACAUGCCAUGUCUUAGUGUUAAACAGUUGCAACACAGAACCCAGGCUACCUUACUUGUACUAAGGCAUGUUAUUAGUUAUUUGCUGCAUGGUGUUUCAUUAAAUAUGUUGCCUAUUAACAUAAUUUUUUAAAAUACCUUUCUUCUGAUGGUCUCUGUAUAAUUCCAGUCCUCACUGCCCACCAGAUUUGAACUACUCCUAUAAUUGGAUCUUCCAGUAUUUCCUAUAUUUUUCAUUCUGAAAACUCCCUGGGUCAUGCUUUGAUAGAAAAAGAUAGGCCGGGCAUGGUGACUCAAGCCUAUAAUCCUAACACUUCCGGAAGCCAAGGAGGUUGGACAGCCGGAGGUCAGGAGUUUGAGACCAGCCUGGCCAACGUGGUGAAACCCACCUCUAUUGAAAAUAUAAAAAUUAGCUGGGUGUGGUGGUGGGUGCCUGUGCCUGUAGUCCCAGCUACUCAGGAGGCUGAGGCAGGAGAGUCACUUGAACCUGAAACGGGGAGAUUGCAGCAAGCCAAGAUUGUGCCACUGCACACCAACCUGGGGAACAGUGCAAGACUCCAUCUCAAAAAAUAAAUAAAAAAUAAAUAAAUAAACAAAUAAAGGCAUUCAGUUUAUAAGUGAAGCAGAGCAUAAAAGUUCAGAAAAUGUAUUGCCUGACAAUGUGACAGAAAAGAAAAACCUGUUUUUUGAGGAGAAAUUUAAAUUGGCUAUAGAAAUUUGCAUAAGUAAUGAGAAGCUGAAUAUUAAUCCCCAAGGCAUGGGUGAAAAUGUCUCCGGGCAUGUCAGAGGUCUUCAUGGCAGCCCUUCCUAUCACAGCCUCAGAGACAUAGAAGAAAAUGUUUUAUGGCCUGGGUCCAGGAUCCUCAUGCUGUGUGCCAUCUAGGGACUUGGUGCCCUGUCUCCCAGCCACUCUGCUGUACUGAAAGGGACGAAAGUGAAGCUUAGGCUGUUGCUUCAGAGGAUUACGAAGCUGCAAGCCUUGGUAGCUUUCAUGUGGUGUUGAGCCUGUGGGUGCACAGAAGUCAAGAAUCCAGGUUUGGGAGCCUCUGCCUAGAUUUCAGAAGAAAUAUGGAUAUAUGGAAAUGCCUGGAUACCCAUGCAAAAGUUUGCUGCAGGGAUGGGGCCCUCAUGGAGAACCUCUUCUAGGGUACGUAGUACAGAAGGGAAAUGUGGGGUGGGAGCCCCCACACAGAGUCCCUACUAGAGUACCACCUAGUGAAGCUGUGAGAAGUGGGCCACCAUCCUCCAGACCUCAAGAUGUUAGAUCCACCAACAGCACGUGUGCCUGGGAAAGUCACAGAUACUCAACAUCAGCCUAUGAAAGCAGCCAGGAGGCAGGCU